UCGGCAUACACGCACGCAUCGAGGGCCUCGCCCAAUUCGAUGUGCAAGGCAGGCAUCACGUCACGACGAUCGACGAUGCUGGCGUAUACGAGCGUGCAAGGCGGGUCGGCGUACACGUGCUGCAUGCAUCGGCCGGCAUAUAGCGCCAGAAGCCAUCUUCAUUCACGCCGAACUGUGUGCCAGCCAUCGCGUUUGUUCGUGGGCCGAAGCUCCAUGCAGAUGCGGCCAGACUA
rnacentral:lncRNA from 1 species